AAAACACACAACUGUAAUGAGAAGACCAUAAGAGACGACGGUGAUAAGCUAGAUGGAGAGCAGGAGUGGAGCGGAGGGCGACGCCGGCAAGCUUGGUCGCUGCCGGCGUCGGGAUGUGAAGUCGGUGACGGCGCCUAGGAAUAUGUGUCUGCGAGCGUUUUAACUAGGGCGAACUUCUUUUUUUAAGAUUAAAUUAGUU
rnacentral:lncRNA from 1 species